AUAUCAAUAAGCGGAGGAAAAGAAACUAACAAGGAUUCCCCUAGUAACUGCGAGUGAAGCGGGAAAAGCUCAAAUUUGAAAUCUGGCAGUCUAUUUUUUCUUCUUUGGCUGUCCGAGUUGUAAUCUAGAGAAGUGCUUACCUGCACUGGACCAUGUAUAAGUCUCCUGGAAUGGAGCGUCGCAGAGGGUGAGAAUCCCGUCUUUGACAUGGACYGCCAGUGUGUUGUGGUGUGCUCUCAAAGAGUCGAGUUGUUUGGGAAUGCAGCUCUAAAUGGGUGGUAAACUCCAUCUAAAGCUAAAUAUUGGCGAGAGACCGAUAGCGAACAAGUACCGUGAGGGAAAGAUGAAAAGGACUUUGGAAAGAGAGUUAAACAGUAUGUGAAAUUGUUGAAAGGGAAACGCUUGAAGUCAGUUGUGUCGGCUAGGGAUCAACCUAGCUCUUUUGCUGGGUGAACUUCCUAUUCUGACAGGCCAACAUCAGUUUUGACCGCCGGAAAAGAGYGGAGGGAAUGUGGCACCUUCGGGUGUGUUAUAGCCCUUUGUCAUAUGCGGYGGUCGGGACUGAGGGAUGCAGCGUGCCGCGAGGCUGGGUUUCGACCAYGUUCACGCUUAGGAUGUUGGCUUUUAAUGGCUUCAAUCGACCCGUCUUGAAACACGGACCAAGGAGUCUAACAUGCCUGCGAGUGUUUGGGUGGAAAACCCUUGCGCGCAAUGAAAGUGAAAGUUGAGAUCCCUGUCGUGGGGAGCAUCGACGCCCGGACUUGAGCUUUCAGCGACGGAUCCGCGGUAGAGCAUGCAUGUUGGGACCCGAAAGAUGGUGAACUAUGCCUGAAUAGGGCAAAGCCAGAGGAAACUCUGGUGGAGGCUCGUAGCGAUUCUGACGUGCAAAUCGAUCGUCAAAUUUGGGUAUAGGGGCGAAAGACUAAUCGAACCAUCUAGUAGCUGGUUCCUGCC
rnacentral:rRNA from 1 species